UACGUAUGGGGCAAGCGUUGUUCGGAAUUAUUGGGCGUAAAGGGCGCUCAGGCGGGGGAUUAAGUUGGAUGUGAAAUCUAUGGGCUCAACCCGUAAACUGCAUCCAAAACUGGUUCUCUUGAGUUCGGGAGAGGAGAGCGGAAUUCUUGGUGUAGCGGUGAAAUGCGUAGAUAUCAAGAAGAACACCAGUGGCGAAGGCGGCUCUCUGGCCUAGAACUGACGCUGAAGCGCGAAAGCGUGGGGAGCGAACGGGAUUAGAAACCCGGGUAGUCC
rnacentral:rRNA from 1 species